UCAGCCCCUAGGAGAAAAAUCAGUUUAAACGCGCUGUGUAGAUCUGUGGGGAACAAAGCUUAUGCACGUUUGGGGGAGACUGGAGCAACUAAUGCAAGGAAAAUCCACUGAGGGCUGUUAAAUGCCACUACGCAGUCUCUGGUUGAGAAAGUCCCGGAGCUGCAAACAGCUGGAUCCUGGGAAAGCAUUUGCAAUGAAACAUGGCUACACUCUCACCCUGUUCUUACAUUCUUCCUUAGAUGCUGCUAUCAGCUCCUGUUGGAGAUGAGGCAGGACACAGCUCAAUCCAGCUGGGCUUGGUGGCUCUGGUUCCUCUGCUCUUCCACGAAGGUACUGUCCUGUAAUAACCUACACCUAGCCCACUGUGACCGUGCGUGUGUGAGGUGGUUUUAUGGAGGCUGGCGAUGAUGUUUCUCCUCCUCUUCUGUCUCUGUUUGGAGAAGAAAGAUGCUGAAGUGCAUGGCUGGAGGAGAAAAACUCCUGAGGUUAUUGUACAUCUGUUCUCAAAAGGAUACUGCAUGAGUGUCAGCUGCUGAAAUGAACAGUUUAGGUGAUGGAAAGCCAUCACCCUGGUCACUAAACCUGCCUCUCUUCUCCUCUGAGCAAUGUUGGGGCAAGGCACAAGUUCCAAAAGCUCUUGCUUUGUUUGAUCUGCCCUCUCCCGUCACACACCCCUGCCUCGGAGCAGGACCUCUGUGAGGAAAAGUUAACCCAGUUGGUGGUCACAAAGCAAAUCAGUGAUGUGGUUUGUGAUAGGUGUCACGAGGUGUUUGGAAGGUGUCAUUUCUCCAUCUGUGCCUGGGCAGUGCUAACUUACAGGGGAAAGGCAUAUUCCAGCAGCCUUUGGCAGAACUGAUUUAAAAAAUGCUUUGGAGGAGGGUUGAUCCUCCCCUCCUUGGUGGGAGGAAGCAGCUUCUGGCCAUCACAGGCUGCUGCCUGUAAGGUUUUGCCAAGGCUGGCCUGUCCCAGGGUGGGCACACAAGGUAAAAUCAGUGAAGAUUUGGGACUCCUCAGUAUUUAACUCAUAUUGCAGAUGGUCAUGCCCAGCUUUGCAGAUGCUGUGGGCUAGCUUCCGAGGCGCUAAAAUUCCUGUUUUCCCUAGAGACACACAAUUCAGCUCUUUGUUUAUGCCAAUCCUGGCUAAAAUAACAAACUGUGAAGAGAAGGCACAGACUGGAAUAGGCAAGCACUGGCAUGGGCUGCCCAUAGAGGAUAUGGAGUCUCCCUCCUUGGAGCUCUUUGGAAUCUGCUGCAAGCAAGGGGCUCUGAGUGAGAACAGAGUUGUCCCAGGCGUAGGCACUGAAACCCAGGGUGUCCUCUUGUUCCUUACUCUAAAUCUGAGUUUUGGAUACUUUCUUCUCCACUGAAGGAAGAAAUGGUAUAAAAGGAAGGUUGGGUGACUGUGUAAAGCCUGUGGACCAGCCAGAGGUCCUGCGUGUGCACACCAGUGUUCUGUCUUCUUGCAGGCAGUGGGAAGGGAAAGCUUCCCCUCUGUGGCUGUUGUGCCAAGAAGCAUCAUGUUCUGCCCACCAGCCAUGCUCUGAAAGGGGACUCCCUUAGAAGGGGACUUAGUGCAGGGUGGUCCUAAUCCACAAACCUUGCGGAAGGGGCAGAAAGAGGAUCCCCUUGCUUUGAUAGAAAUGAGUGAAGUGUGACGUGUCACUGCGGUGAAAGCAGUCCAGGAAGCCUGACUCACGCAGAUCCUGCUGCUUAUCUCAGGUGGGAGGCAGAGAAGGUCUUCAGCAGGGAGCUAGGAGUGACCGCUUCUGCGUAGUAAUGGGGCUCUUCAGGGGACAGCAGGGCACGUCCUGAUGUGCAAAGCCCUCCUAUCAGAGGUGGGUCUCUGGGAUCCCUGAGUUUCUGCAGUUUGCAACAGGCCUCCCUGGUAAGCAGAGUGGAGACCAUACUUCCCAGUGCAAUCCGUGCAGCACUGCUUGCUGCUGCUGUGACCUUCUGCAAGAAAGUACCCAAGCAGCAGUGUCCUUCCUCUGCAUACAGACAAACAGGAGACCUGGGCUAAGAGGCUAAGGAGAGCUACUGGCAUGAAAGCAAGCCUCUGAAAAAGGAUGGAGCAGCAGAAAGGCUGCAUUUCUUCAAGGGAUCUGUGCACUGCAUGAGAACAGAUGAUCCUGCUGCCUUUUCUGCAGCAGCUUUUGCAAACUCUGUCAGUUCAGUAGUGGGGAAAUAUGCAUGCAUGAUAAAGAAGAGGCUUUUUUUUUUUUCCCUACUGCCAAAAGAAAUGCAACAUUCUGGGGAAAGAGGAAAAGAUCUCAUUGCUUUCAUCAGUAAAUGAAACUGAAGAAAAAGUAUCUCCUUCUUCCUCUCUCUCUUAACCAUUUUGGAGGAAAUUUUCCACUUAGCCACCUUUUUGGAGGCACUGGACAGCUCUGCCUUGGCCUCGGUCCAAAAGUGUCUCUGAUCUGCACAACUACCCUGGAAACAUCACUGGAAUAGGCUUUCCUGUGAGAUUUCUGCUUCCUGCUGGGCUGACAAUGCAGCCAGACUCGGUGGGAUUUCCCCUGCGCCAAGGGGGACGCGGUGUGGCUGCAUAGUAAGUAAAGUCUAAGGCUCCUCCUGAGAAGAGGAGGAAUCUGUGAAGACCCAGGUCUACUUAAAUACUCCAGGUGUUCACACUUGAAGUUUUUACUGGUGGGUAAUUCUUUAAAUCAUUAAUGGGUGAAGGCAGCCUUUAGAUCUGCCAAUCUUAUGAAAGGAACUUAAUGUUUGGAGUGUUGCACUGGGACCCCAGAGAACUACUUUGGGAAAACUAAGCAAGUAACAGCAGCCAUGGCUGGGCAGGAUUGCUUCACUCUCUUGCUGCUCCUUUAAUCCCCUGUUGGCUCGCCUCUGGCAGGCAGUGCAAUCAGAGCUACCUUGGUAGCCUCUCUCAGCUGUCGGGUGCUCCAGUGGUGUUAGGGACCAGUGGGUGCCUGUCCCAGGCACGCGGGAAGAGGACAGUUCUGACAGACUUCUUAUUUCCUCCCUUCCCAACCAAGGUGCUCCAGCUGAGCAGAGCUGGGCUGGGACUUGGAGCACCCAUUCAUUUUACACUGAUGCCUCAAAGAUCAUUUGAAGCUAGUGGUUCUGGUGUCAUUCAAGGGCCUUGCUAGGGAACAGGAAGCAAAUGGAGUGUCUUGGUGAGACGGCUUGUAGGGAGAGCUGACUGCCUGCCAAAAGCCCCAUCCAACUGCAAAAGCAGCUGUUUCAGACCAAAAAAGUUUGUUGCAGUUUGGUCCCAGCUGACGCCAUUGUGGCACGCAACAACCUCCAGAAUAUCUGCCAUGGGACGAGACCUUUUGGCUGGAGGAGUCUGUCACUGUUCAAGCAUGGCCCAGAUCCUUAGAUAAAGGAGUCAGAGAGGUCACCCAUGCUCGUUGUUAUGUUCCUCUAAGUUCCCAGCCAAAUGUGCUGACAGAAGGAAGUGUUCCCAACAGUUCAAACUCUACUGAGAUCCUCUGUCAAGGCUUGUUCCUACAGCCUGCUCCGUCCACGCUAUCAUCAAAGGGAGA